CAAUAGCGUAUAUUAACGUUGUUGCAGUUAAAAAGCUCGUAGUUGGAUUUCUGGAGGGAGCGUCGACCCGUAUUUACGAGUGCGUGACGUCUCUGUCCAUCCUUGCGGGAAGGCACGGCAUUGAUUUGUUGUGUCGGAUCGCAUCAUUUACUGUGAAAAAAUUAGAGUGUUCAAAGCAGGCUUUCGCUUGAAUACAUUAGCAUGGAAUAAUAAGAUAGGACUUUGGUGCUAUUUUGUUGGUUGAGCCUAAAGUAAUGAUUAAUAGGGACAGUUGGGGGCACCUGUAUUGCGUUGUCAGAGGUGAAAUUCUUGGAUUUACGCAAGACAAACAGCUGCGAAAGCGUCUGCCAAGGAUGUUUUCAUUAA
rnacentral:rRNA from 1 species